ACUUCUUGAGGCGGAGGCACGUAAUUGACAUUGGACCUGAAAGACAAAGACAAACCAGAUCACAUUGGGGGAGUAGGGUGGCGAUGGUGGUCGCGGUGGUGUGUGUGUGUGUGUGUGUGUGUGUGUGUGUGUGUGUGUGUGUGUGUGUGUGUGUGUGUGUGUGUGUGUGUGUGUGUGUGUGUGUGUGUGUGUGUGUGUGUUAGAGGGGGGGGGGGGGAGGGUAUGCGGUCAAUUAAAUUAAAAGCUUUCCUCUAUAGGUCACGUGAGUGGAGGAAGAUUAAUGGAAUAAAACAAAAUCCUUCCUGAAUGCUUUUGAAUCUAAAAGCGUCUUCAUUCACUCUGCCG